rnacentral:rRNA from 1 species
GGCUAACGCUGGCGGCGUGUCUUAGCCAUGCAAGUCGAGCGGACUUAUGGGGGUAACUUAUAAGUCAGCGGCGGACGGCGGAGUAACACGUAGCUAACCUACCCUCUGGACGGGGGAUAACCUACCGAAAGGUGGGCUAAUACCCGAUGUAGUCAUCCUGUAUAGGGGUGAUGAAAGGUGGGCUUCUGUUUACAAGCUCAUGCUGGAGGAGGGGGCUGCGGCCUAUCAGGUAGUUGGUAGGGUAAUAGCCUACCAAGCCGAUGACGGUAGCCGGCCUGAGAGGGUGACCGGCCCGAGGGGCACUGAGAUACGGGUCCCACUCCUACGGGAGGCAGCAGGCUAGAAAUUUGGGCAAUGGGGAAACCCUGGACCCAGUGACGCCGCGUGCAGGAAGAGCCCUUCGGGGUGUAAACUGCUGUCGUGUAGGGAGAAGGGUACUAAGGUGAACAAUCUUAGUACUUGACGGUACUACAGGAGGAAGCCCAGGCUAACUCGUG